rnacentral:tRNA from 1 species
GCGGGGCUAGUCUAGUGGUAGGACAGAAGCUUCCCAAGCUUCUAACGCGGGUUCGAUUCCCGCGCCCCGCA